CCAACUGUUCGCCAGAGGACUACAAGCGAAAAGCUUGAAACUCAAAGGACUUGGCGGUGCCCCAUUCAGCCUAGAGGAGCCUGUUCUAUAACCCGACACCACACGUUCAACCCCACCCCCCAUUGCAAAAUCAGCCUAUAUACCGCCGUCGUCAGUUUACCCUAUGAAGGCCAACCCAGUAGACAAAAAAAUCACCCAUUAACACGACAGGUCGAGGUGUAGCUAAUUGAGGGGCAGAAAUGGGCUACAUUUUCCUACAACGAACACACGUACAGUAGACUGAAAAACUACUACUAAGGCGGAUUUAGCAGUAAAAUGAACCAGGAUGUUCACUUUAACAUAGCUCUGGGGCGCGC
rnacentral:rRNA from 1 species